rnacentral:lncRNA from 1 species
GUCUAGUAAAUUAUAUAGUAUUAUUUCAUUAUAAUCCUAUGCAACUUUAGAAAUCCAGACAAAUAUUUCUUGAAACAUCUCUUACUAUGAAUAAUUGUUCUGAAUAUUCUGCAUUCCAUACCACAAAUUGUAACGAAAUCGAGUGAAGAACGAGUUGGAAAAGGGAUUCCUAAUUUAGAUGUCACCCACCAUUUAACAAGACAUAGUGCAUAUAUACAGAUAAAGACCAUGAUGGCAUAUCAUUAUAUUAAUUUAUUGAGAAAGCAUAUGAUAUGCAUAAAGUAGCAUGAGACUUCCCCCUCGUAAGAACAUUAAAGAAGCGUUAUCAAGGAACAAUAAUAGUGGCCAGCUAAUCAGACCUUAAUGACACAGUAUGGGACAUAUAGGGGCUAUAUGGCUAAGCUACAUACUGAAACAAAGAGGUAGAUAAUUGGAACAUUAAUGAAUUUUCCUAGACGAUUCAAACAAUAUACAGGCACCGACACGGCUGAGUACAUAUCCGAUACGCCAUGUGGCGUGUCGGAACGCAAAUGCAGCCGACAUGCAACCAAAACCUCUGCCCAACUUUAAAAAAGCCCCAGUAAGGUUUAUAGCCUAAUACCAGACGUCUUUUAUAUGUAUACAGAUUCUAUAUGUAUAUAAUUAUUUAGCUAUCUCUCUCUGUUUUUCAUCAUUUAAUCUGAUAUACAUAAGCAAAAGCCUAUAUAUAGAUACAUUCUAUAUAUCUAUUUGCUAAAGAUCACUUGAUUAUAUAAAUAUACGAGUGGGACAAUGAGUUCAAGUGUGAAGUUGUUUAAUAUUCAACAUAUAUAAAUUAUAUAUUUUAUAAAUACUAUUUAUUUUUUGCCGUGUCCCGUAUCCAGGACUCUUUGCUAAUUGGCGAAUCCCCGUAUCCCGUGUCCUGUGUCCCGUGUCGCCGUUGUAUCCCGUGUCUUGUGUCCCGUGUCGCCGUACCCGAGUCGGUGCUUCCUAGUAUACAGCCUACAGGAGAUCUUUAGUAUUACAAGUGAUAAAGCCCGUAAGGUCCUGAAAGAUGGCAACACUGAAAACAGUAACACCAGUUGUAGACAAAUUGAUGUUAAGACAGAAAAAGUGACACAUUCAACAGAGACCCAAAGUCAAAACAGUUGCUAUGGGAGAAGCUUAUGCUCUCUUCAGUCGAAGGAUUAUAUUUACUUUAAUCAUAGUACAUAUUUAAUAUUGUAUAUUCAUUUCUCUGUUGUUCAAUGCUACAAAUUUAAAAUUGAACAGCCAUUUUCUCCAUAAUCAUUAUCUUCACAUACACAUCAUAAAAGAAAAAACUCGUUUCUUUCAUUUUUCCCGUUCCCAGUUUUUUAUUUCAGUUCUACCUCAUUCAAUUUAUUCCAACCAAACAAACCAGUAACCAACUUUAAUGAUCCCACACAGGGGCAAACAAUUCAAAACG